CUACAAUACUACAGAUAAUACAUUACUACGAUACUACAGUACUACAGAUAAUGCAUAUACUACAAUACUACAGUACUACAGAUUCUACAGUACUACAGAUACUACAGUACUACAAUACUACAGAUAAUACAUAUACUACAGAUACUACAGUACUACAGAUAAUGCAUAUACUACAGUGCUACAGAUACUACAGAUUCUACAGUACUACAGAUACUACAGUACUACAGAUUCUACAGUACUACAGAUUCUACAAUACUACAGUACUACAGAUUCUACGAUACUACAGUACUACAGAUUCUACAGUACUACAGAUACUACAGUACAAUGCAUUUGUUCUUAUUUCUUUCUGUUAUUAUAUAUCUUAAAGAUUCUUUUGAAAAAAUGAAAAAAUAUAUAUAUAAUAAUUGAUGCAACUACUCGAUGUUGGGGGACUAUUUCAAACAUAUCAUUAUGUUUUCUAACAGUGUUUAACAAUGUUGUAGACUGAGCUGUUAGUGAACACAGCCCUAUCAACUGAAUGGCAAUCUUCUCCACACUGUGGAAACUCUUACAGUAGUGCCUGAACUCCUCCUUGACAUUUCAAGUUAGCUAGAUAUAUAUGAAAACUCAAUCAGUCAGUCUAGACGGGAGAGGGUAUUAAUAGAAUAUGAAAAGUAGACAUUAUGUAGAAUUUCAAGAUAUUGUAAAAACACGCAAUAAUGACAACAACAAAAAAGUGUACUUCUAAUCUAAAACAGAACAGAUUAAUGUUAAGAUAACACUUUGUUUUGGGAUGUAUGCUAGAAUGGAUAGGGGCAACAAAAAAAUGCUGCCCCUUAUACUUAUAGCCACUCGAAACUAGCAAACGUCCAGAUUCAGAUUUGAAAUGUGUUUUCAUUGGCCAUUCCUUUGCGUGGGCGGAGCAGAUGAGCAAAUGGACCCUUGUGAUUGGAGGGCAGGCCGUUGGUAGUGUUACUGUUCGUUAGCCCAUGUUACUAGGCAGAUGAAGGAAGGACGGAGAGAAAAGAAAGGGUGGAGAGAUUGUCUCCUUGCUGUGUCUGUCACACAGACAGAUCCAGAACAAAGUCUCUCGCCCCGUGAUGAUGUCACUUCCUGGUUGGUGAUGUCACUUCCUGGUUGGUGAUGUCACGUCCUGGUUGGCGAUGACACUGCGUCGGAAAGGCACAGCCAGAGGGGGGAUGUACAUCCCAGAGGCCGAGCAGUCCGUCAUCUUGUAUGAUUUGUCUGAUUUAUAAACCCCGGUCUAGCACUUCACACCCCCCUCUGUCACCCUCCCCAGUUCUCCCUUCCUGCCCCAAUCCCCAGACCCUGCAAGGCUCCAGAGAUGCAAUUUUAACAUUCACUUCUACCAAUGUGCCUUUCAGAGUUCAUAUCAUUCAAAUGCGAUGAGGAGGAAACGGACGUUAUCUGAACUUUUUAGGAUUCAAGCUUAGGGAACUGUUAGUUAUUAGGUCUAUGCAGUCAGGUUUUUUCCGACCUGGGAAUUAAAAAAAGAAAAGAAAAACAGUCAAAAGAAAAAAAAAGUAUUUUUGGGAUAAACUGUAUUUAAUUGUACUGUAUGCUUAUAUGUAAUUAGAUGACGUGUCCCUGAACAGACCUUGUUUUAGUCAGUUGAGCCCCCUGGCGGCCCCAGCACCCCGAGUUUCAGACCCCUUCUUGUAUUAUUCCAAGUUUCAGCCUGUUUCCAUAGUGACCUACACGUCUGUUAUUGAGCAUUGUAUUAUAGCUAUCAGCUUUUUAUCAAUAUCGGCUUGUCCGUGAGCCCCUGUAGUCUUCAGUACCAGUGUGUGGUUGUAUGUGUAAAACAGAACCUUCUUCCUCUUUUUUAAAUCUUUCUCUUAUUCUUUGUCUGUUCUGGUUUCUCCGUUGAUGAAAAAAGUACUAAACCACAACUUGCUGCCCUAUGGAGAUUGGACAGCAGCUGUUUUUAAAUGUGGUUUGCAUUAUCCAAUCAACGCAAAGGCACUGAAACUGGAAAAUAAUCUAUUUGAAAAAUCAAUAUAUAUAAAUGUAAAAAUAUAUACAAUAUAUAAAUAAGGAAGGUGCCAGUUUUCAAAGGAGAGGUUGUUUUGGUGGUGAUUAAUCAUUUUCUCAGAGAUGGGUAGAAGGUUUGAAGAGGCAUCUCAGUGUUACUUUAAAGAGACAAUACGCGUUCUUCUCUAGCAGGGCCGUGACAUCACAAUGACUGACUAUGGCGUCCCUGACUGGACAAAAGGGACCGGUUUUCUCUGCCGUGCCGUGACAUCACAAUGACUGACUAUGGCGUCCCUGACUGGACAAAAGGGACCGGUUUUCUCUGGCGGGCCGUGACAUCACAAUGACUGACUCUGGCAUCCCUGACUGGACAAAAGGGACCGGUCUUCUCUGGCGGGACCGUGACAUCACAAUGACUGACUAUGGCAUCCCUGAUGGGACAAAAGGGACCGGAGUUACAACAUGCUCCACUCACUGCUAUUCAGCCUUUCAAAGGAAAUGCAGACAUUUGUCAAUUGUAUGCAACAAAUGCAAACUGACGAUUAUUUUGAAAUUGUGUAUGUAAAAGUUAUAUUUUUACAUGUAGGCUGUUGUUAUUUUGUGUUUAGAUAAUACGUUGUGUUAGUUUUUUGUUAAAAGAUGAAAAAGUAAAAUUCAGUGUUGAAAACAUGUCACAUUGAAAAUGUAGUGAGGUCAAAAGUUUCAAUAUCAUAAUUUUUUUGUUUUUUUCAGCAUUUUGUUUGUUUAUAUCAAGAAGGUAUAUAAUAUUAUUUUCAUGCUCCAUGCUCAUUGCCAUUUUUUCAUUGUAUUUUUCAUUGUAUUUUUGAAGAAAUAAUGUAUAAAUAAGUCAUAAUACACAGGGUUCAUGACCUUUUGGUUGGGGGUGCUGGUGGUGAAUAGCUGAAAGUGGGAGAGAAUUGAGUUGAUUUGAUCAGUUGUAUUCUGCUUGUAAUUGUCUGGUUAUUCUAGCCAGGUGCCAAUAUUAAUUAAAUAUCAAU
ensembl:lncRNA